ACUAUAUUGGGUUAUUAAAAGCCUGACCUCUUUUAGCAAUUUUUUAUCCCAUUAUUAAAUAGUUCAUAUAAAAUAUAGUAAGCCUUGACUUUUGAAGCCUUAGCUUCUCAAUUUCAGAUUCACAAUCAACCUGUGGGUGCUUGAUAUCAUUCAAAUGAUUUCAAAGCUACUGCCUCAUCUGAUCAACACCUGGAUUCCUAACCAUGUCUUCUGAUUCCAGUCUAGUAUGCAUCCCACCGAAACACAACCUCCUAUCAUUGCCUUGUCAUCAAGUCUUUGAGGGAUUGUGGAUCAGGGAUGGAAGGAGCGAAGGAGUGACAGACUCGUUGGUAAUACAGAAUGACAAUGAAACUUUUUACCUAAAGUGAUCAGCAUAAUGUCCUCUACUGAGACAAAGAACGUGUUUCCAAAUUGCCUCUGGCAGGACAGAUAUCUAUCUAAGCAGAAAAUGAAGGUAGGUUGUAACGGAGUGUUUUUCUGCAGUUUAUGUUUCUAGCAAAGGAAAAAUAUUAGUACUCUAUUUAAGAAGAUAGCUCUCUCUGAGAUCCUCAGAUUCUCCUUAUGUUCAGACCUGUCUUGACAUGCCCUGCUACCAUCAGAAACACAGCAUAUGGAAGUUCAAUUUCUAUUCUCAGAUGCUCAAGAAAUAACUUCAGAUUCAAGUCUGAGAUUUGACUUGAAAGACAGGAUAUUAGCACAUCAUUGAU
rnacentral:lncRNA from 1 species